rnacentral:rRNA from 1 species
ACGUUCUCACUAGUGAUUUCUGGUUGAUCCCGGCGGAGGCUACUGCUAUUGGGAUUCGAUUAAGCCAUGCAAGUUGAAUGAAUUUAGAUUCAUGGCGUACGGCUCAGUAACACGUGGAUAACUUACCCUUAGGACUGGGAUAACUCUGGGAAACUGGGGAUAAUACCGGAUAUUAGGCUAUGUCUGCAAUGGUUUGCCUUUGAAAUGUUUUUUUUCGCCUAAGGAUAGAUCUGCGGCUGAUUAGGUCGUUGGUGGGGUAAUGGCCCACCAAGCCGAUGAUCGGUACGGGUUGUGAGAGCAAGGGCCCGGAGAUGGAACCUGAGACAAGGUUCCAGACCCUACGGGGUGCAGCAGGCGCGAAACCUCCGCAAUGUACGAAAGUGCGACGGGGGGAUCCCAAGUGUUAUGCUUAAGGAUGACUUCUAGAAGUAAUC